UCCCUGGUGGCUCAGACGGUGAAGCAUUUGUCUGUAAUGCAGGAGACUCAGGUUCAAACCCUGGAUUGGGAA
rnacentral:tRNA from 1 species